rnacentral:rRNA from 1 species
AGCGAACGCUGGCGGCAGGCCUAACACAUGCAAGUCGAACGCCGUAGCAAUACGGAGUGGCAGACGGGUGAGUAACACGUGGGAACGUACCCUUCGGUUCGGGAUAACUCAGGGAAACUUGAGCUAAUACCGGAUACGUCCGAGAGGAGAAAGAUUUAUUGCCGAGGGAUCGGCCCGCGUCUGAUUAGCUUGUUGGUGAGGUAACGGCUCACCAAGGCGACGAUCAGUAGCUGGCUGAGAGGAUGAUCAGCCACAUUGGGACUGAGACACGGCCCAGACUCCUACGGGAGGCAGCAGUGGGGAAUCUUGCGCAAUGGUCUAACGACUGACGCAGCGACGCCGCGUGAGGGAUGAAGCUCUUCGGAGUGUAAACCUCUGUGCCCGGGACGAAUAGCGGAUUAUUCCGACUUGACGGUACCGGGUGAGGAAGCACCGGCUAACUCCGUGCCAGCCGCCGCGGU